GAUGAACGCUGGCGGCGUGCCUAAUACAUGCAAGUCGAACGAAACUUCUUUAUCCCCGCGUGCUUGCACUCACCGAUAAAGGGUUGAGUGACGAACGGGUGAGUAACAUGUGGGCAACCUGCCCCAAAGAGGGGGAUAACACUUGGAAACAGGUGCUAAUACCGCAUAACCAUAGUUACCGCAUGGUAACUAUGUAAAAGGUGGCUAUUCUACCGCUUCUGGAUGGGCCCGCGGCGCAUUAGCUAGUUGGUAGGGUAAAGGCUUACCAAGGCAAUGAUGCGUAGCCGAAUUGAGAGGGUGAUCGGCCACAUUGGAACUGAGACACGGCCCAAACUCCUACGGGAGGCAGCAGUAGGGAAUCUUCCACAAUGGGCGAAAGCCUGAUGGAGCAACGCCGCGUGGGUGAAGAAGGUCUUCGGAUCGUAAAACCCUGUUGUUAGAGAAGAAAGUGCGUGAGAGUAACUGUUCACGUUUCGACGGUAUCUAAUCGGAAAGCCACGGCUAACUACGUG
rnacentral:rRNA from 1 species